ACACUUAAGAGUUUUUCUUCUUUUAUUUUCUUGGUUCCUAUUGGUUUUCUUUUCUUAUUGACACUCUUUGAUCUUUUUCUCUUUUCUCAAACCCAAGAUAUAACAACUUAAAAACACACAAACUCACUCAUUAUCCUAGAUGCUAGUUCAAAUGAGGAUCUUAUGCUAGCAAUAGAUGAGAACAAACAUAUGUCGCUCCCAAUACUCUCAAGAUUUUGCACAUGACAAGCUAUCAAUAAGAGACCUCACUCAACAAAUCGAUAUUGGUUUCAAAGAAUGGCAAGGGUUCAAGGGUAGGGGAGUGCUAUUUGGGUUAAUCAAAGGAUAAGACAUGGAAUAAGAUAACCCAAAUGUGUAUGAAAUCCAUGAUCAAGUAUGCAAGUGCCCAUAUGCCACUCCCAAUACUCUCAAGAUUUUGCACAUGACAAGCUAUCAAUAAGAGACCUCACUCAACAAAUCGAUAUUGGUUUCAAAGAAUGGCAAGGGUUCAAGGGUAGGGGAGUGCUAUUUGGGUUAAUCAAAGGAUAAGACAUGGAAUAAGAUAACCCAAAUGUGUAUGAAAUCCAUGAUCAAGUAUGCAAGUGCCCAUAUGCAAGAGAGAUUAAAUUCAUUAUGCUCAAGUUCAGUUUGUAAUUGGUUUCAAGAACAAUGUCAAUAUCAUAUGAGCAACAUGUUUCAAAAAGAGUUUUCAAGGCUCAAGAGAUGCUUGUAGAUAUGUUCUUUUCAUGGCAAUUUCAAUCAUGGCUCCCUAUGCAUA
rnacentral:lncRNA from 1 species